UCCGAGUCUGUCAAUUUGAAGGUCCUUGCUUCUUGCUGGGGCCAGAGAAAGGGGGAAUACCACCCUUUGGGACCUGUGGGAAGGGGCAGGUAGACUCUCCAAGGUAGACUUAGUGGCUGGAGCAUUUGUUAUGCAAAUUCUGUCAGCACUAGACCUCAAACCAGGGCACAGUUCCUGGCAGAGCCAUCACAUCCUGAGAGCAGAGGUCCUGCAGCUGUUUUGCGUCAAAUGACUCAUAGAUGCCACGCAGCAAACAAAAUUGUCCUCGGUAAAUAUGGGAACUGUGCUUGGGUUAUUCUCUCCAUAAAAGUAAUGAUUUCCCAAGACUGCUUUUGUUACAACCCAUUAAUAAUUAAAAUGCUUGUAUUUUUGCUGGGAAACCUGAAUUUUUAAAAUAUGGUCACCUUUAUUGAAGAGUGAGGCCUGGAAAGAUUUCUUUGUUCAAUGAGAGAGGCAGAAGCUGUCUCCAAGCAACAAUUCCUUCCAGUGAGGAAGUAUACAUCCAAAGGGUUCAAAGAAUUUCCUUCAGGCAGUGACCUGAAGAGGGACACCUGGCCCUGAUGUCACAAAAAUGCUGAUCCUGAGGAGAAAUGGUUUCUGGAAGAUCAGCUGGGAGAGUCCUGAGCCUAACACCCCAGGACAGUGGCCACACCCAGUACCAGAGUGCACCCCACCUCCCUCCUGGGCUUUACAACCUGGCAUUUAAUUUGGAAGGAGACAUUUGUUUCCGGUGGUAAAGUGGAAGUUUUGAGAAAUAGAUGCCUUCUGUCUUUGCCUUUCUUGAUUUUCCUUCUGCCUCCUGAGCUGAGCAGACAGAGUUCAUUUUGAAGGAAAAGGGUGAAGAACCUGGGAAGGUGUUGACAGAAGUCUCUCAUUCCAGGUGACAAGAUAAUGUCCCACUCCUGGAGUAUGGAGCCAGAGAUGCCACAGCUGGGUUCACACUCUACAAAUUAUGGAUGUCUGUGCCCUGAAUGUCUGUGUCCUAGGGUGUGUACUGUCAUGUGAAUAUAUGCUAGAGCCUUCUCACCCAGGAAAAUUUCACAUGACUCAGGCAUAUGACUGUAUAAAAAUGGGUAUAGAAAGCAAAGAUUGGUGCCCGGCAUUAGUGGCACACGCCUUUAAUCCCAGCACUCGGGAGGCAGAGGCAGGCAGAUCUCUGUGAGUUAGAGGCCAGCCUGGUCUCCAGAGCGAGUGCCAGGAUAGGCUCCAAAGCUACACAGAGAAACCCUGUCUCGAAAAACCAAAGAAAGAAAAAAAAGAAAAGAAAAGAAAGAAAGAAAGAAAGAAAGCAAAUAUUGACAAAUAAUGCAUUGUUAAAAUUUACUUAUUUAUUGGUUUUUUGAGACAGGGUUUCUCUGUGGCUUUGGAGGCUGUCCUGGAACUAGCUCUUGUAGACCAGGCUGGUCUUGACCUCACAGAGAUUCUCCUGCCUCUGCCUCCUGAGUGCUGGGAUUAAAGGCAUGAGCCACCAACCCCU
rnacentral:lncRNA from 1 species